rnacentral:rRNA from 1 species
UACGUAGGGGGCGAGCGUUGUCCGGAUUUAUUGGGCGUAAAACGCUUGUAGGCGGCCACAUCGCGUCGGACGUGAAAUCUCCCGGCUCAACUGGGAGGGGUCGUGCGAUACGGAUGGGCUCGAGGCCGGUAGGGGGACGCGGAAUUCCCGGUGUAGUGGUGGAAUGCGUAGAUAUCGGGAGGAACACCAGUGGCGAAGGCGACUUCCUGGCCUGUUCUUGACGCUGAGGCGCGAAAGCUAGGGGAGCAAACGGG